AUUGAGUUUGAUCCUGCCAGUACUCAUCUGCUGUUAUCAGAGAGUAACCCAGGCAUGUCCAAGCAUAAGCAAUCUUAUACACCGAAACUGGGAAUGGCUCAGAUAAAUCAGUUAAUCUGUAAUAGAUCGUAUGAUGGUACACGGAUAACAGUAGUAAAUCUAGAGAGAAUACAGGUUAAAAAUGCCGGAAGUGGCAACCCUGAAGGGGAGAGUUUUUUAGAUUAAAAACAGACACCUCUCCGCGUGGGGUGGUAGCACAGGUGAUUCACAGUAACCGAUCGGAUCGUCGGCCCCCCCGCCGGCGAUGCAUCCGAGUAUUUUCCCUCUCAUCUUUAGUUGGUAGAGUAUCGGUGUACCACGGUGGUAACGGGGGACGGGGGAGUAGGGUUCGUUUCCUCAGAGGGAGCAUCAGAAACGGCUGCCACUUCCAACGAAGGAGGCAGCCGGGCAAAUUACCCAAUCCUCACACGGGGAGGUAGUGACAACAAAUACCAUCGUAACGUCUCCUUGAGAGUCUUACGAUUGGAAUGAGUACAAUUUAAAUCCCUUAUCGAGUAUCCAUU
rnacentral:rRNA from 1 species